CGCUUAACACAUGCAAGUCGCACGAGAAAGGGCUUCGGCCCCGGUAAAGUGGCGCACGGGUGAGUAACACGUGGGUAAUCUUCCCUCGGGCGGGGGAUAACAUUCCGAAAGGAGUGCUAAUACCGCAUAAGACCACGGACUCGAAAGAGUCUGAGGUCAAAGCCGGCCUCUAUACAUAAGCUGGCACCUGAGGAUGAGCCCGCGGCCCAUCAGCUAGUUGGCAGGGUAAUGGCCUACCAAGGCAAAGACGGGUAGCUGGUCUGAGAGGAUGAUCAGCCACACUGGAACUGAGACACGGUCCAGACUCCUACGGGAGGCAGCAGUGGGGAAUCUUGCGCAAUGGGCGAAAGCCUGACGCAGCGACGCCGCGUGAGUGAUGAAGGCCUUCGGGUUGUAAAGCUC
rnacentral:rRNA from 1 species